CUCUGUCAAGGUCCUCCUUAGGUGUGGCCCACAUCCUUUCUCUAAGAGGUUUCUAAGGGCAGGGAUCCUAUGUUACCACCUGAGGACCCCACUACCUCGCUCCAGCAAGGCCUUGUGGGAGGGGGCCUUAGUGUUGGCAAGCGCGGAAGACCAUCCACGUGCGUGUGGUCGCUUGGGUUGGGACCAUUUCAAAGGUGAAAAGGUAACAAGUCCUGGGCUCCUGGGACCUAGAUACCUGGAAGAACGGGCACACAACAGGAUGGCCAUGGUGGGAUUCAAUGCACUAACAGCCCAAGACAAAGGUAUUCAUCCAGCAUCCUCUGCUUGCCAGACCUUGUACUGGCCUGGGGACACAGGGAGAAGCACAGUCUUGGCUUCGACCCAUGUACAGCCUGCAGCUCAGCGGGAAGCAGAUGUCAAUCAAAUAGGUCCACAACUCGAGUCAGAGUGACAGCCUGGAUCGGUGCAGAGAAAAUAAGAUGACAAUGUGUGAACACUCGGAUAUAACCAGCAUGGGGAACUUGGGAGCCUUGUCUGAGGAAUGGAUGCACUAGAUGGAACCUGAGGGGAUGGGGGGACAGGCAAGCAGAGGGAUGCUUCUGGCCUCACUGGCUUGGAGAGCCGCGAAGGUUUGGAUCUGAGCUCCCACUCCGUGCUUCCACCAGGUCCUGCUGGACCGCAGGGAUCACAUGCUUGCCUGGCACCCGAGGAAGGACCAAUCCUCUCAGGCCAUGAUCUCUUCUCCACUCAAGGAAGGCCCAUGCGGGAGGGGCAGCUUUGGCCUAUAAGAUGCGCAAGUUCAAGCUUGGCAGAAGGGCUGUGAGGGGAGGGCACGAUCCCAGGACCUGGUUCCUGUGUGCCACAUGGUGUGGAAGGUUGCAGGUGAGAGCGUGCUUGAAGAGGGGAGGCCAGAGGCCUGGGGCAAAAUCAGGACCAGUCAACAAGCAGGCCGACAAACGGCUGUCAGAUCUACAAGUGGCCGGAACUUUUGCCCUCUCUGGGAACUCCGCACCUGGAGGGGCAGGUUUUCGGGAGCUCUGGUUGAGAGUGAAAGUAGUGGGUUCCCAAUGAGCUUCCCAUGCCAGCUUCCUGAACCUCUGGAAGUCAUUUUCCAGUGGGGUAGUGGCUCCGUGGCGUGUGGCCUCACCAAACAACUGGCGAUAGUGGAAGUGUUUCAUACACACCACAACAGGGCCUUGAGCUUGGUUUUAUCAUGGUGCCUGGCCAGCUGUGUUGUUGUUGUAGGACGAACAAAUGAACAAAUGAACGAAUGAGUGAAUGAAUGAAUGAAUGACCCCACCAGACAAUGAGCUCCGAGAAGGUAGAGACCAGCCUGUUUUAACUCAGCAUUGCUUCCCCAGCUCCUGGCCUACGGCAGACACCUGCUAAAUAUUUGAAAUGAAUGAACUAAGACAUGAACAGUGAAAUUUAACCCUGACUUUGGGGGAACUUCUCCAACUCCGGAGGUGAUGAGACUUAACUCAUUGUAGCCUUGGAGGUGACAAGGUCUUGCAUAAGUCCUGACUCCCCUGGCAAUCUUGAAGGCAGCUUUUAUGCUCUCAUUUUCACACGAGGAAGUAGCCUCUGAGAGACUGAGUGACUGAGUCCAGGCCCACAGCAGGACAAUGAUGAUGGUGUCAGACUAGACCCUCCAGACUGUCUCUGAAGCCUGUGCCUUCCCACAUAGAGGCCCCUACAGCAGGUGGCUUGAUGGGACACUAGCCUCUCUGUCUAUCAAACAAUCUGGAAUAUUCUUUGGGGGAAGGGUCUCCUGCUUGCACAGCUUCUCAGUGGCUUCCUAGUCAGGUGCUUCCGGGCCCAAUGAGAGGCCAAGAGUCACUCAGGACAAGCUGAGUCUAGCCACUAGCACACAUAUUCGGGUGUCUGAACGGAGCGGGCAGGGUUAGUGGUGUCUCUCUGGACCUAUAGACAUGAGAGACGGUCAAGCAGCCGGGCGCUCCCUGUUACUGCUGCUCCCUGAAUGCUCCCCAAUAGACACACUUCUGCAGUCAGGGACUUGGCACGUCAUAGCUGCUCAUCCCGUCCCCAGCUGGUCUUCAGCAUUGCCGUUCAAUUUGCUGUGUUUCUGUGGGACCAACUCUUGUGCUGCGUGCAGGUAACUUUCAGAAGGGGUGGUGUAUGAUGAACUAAGUUUGGGAGAGCUGGGUCGGAAACCUAAUCUGACAACAUGCUAACUUGCAGGACUUCUCAGAGCCUUUUUUAUGCUCAUAUAGAAUAUGAAUCCCCAAGGGUCUGCAGCUCCAGGAGGGAACAUUUCCCAACCUUAUCUGGCCAUUGUUUGUUGUUUUUUUUUUUCCCACUCUUUUGCUCUUUUGGGGAGCCUGCCACCCAGCUCCCAAAUAAAUCACACACGGAAGCUUAUUCUUAAUUAUAAA